AUUAGGAGAGGGUUACAAUAUUCCAUGCAGGAAAUUACUAGAGCAUGGACAAGAUCCUUAGUAGCAUCUUGUGUAAGAAAGGGGCGGAUGUGGGCUAUGUUUUUAAGAUGGAAUCUACAGGACUUGGUAACAUGCUGGAUGUGAGGCUCAAAGGUGAGGCCAGAAUCGAGUAUGACACCAAGACAGCACGCUUGCAAGGAUGAACUGAUGUGGAUACCACUAACUUGAAGGGAGAGCGAAAGAGGAGGAUUAGUAUUAGGAGGAGGAGGAAAAACAAGGAGCUCAGUUUUAGAGAGAUUUAGUUUCAGAAAGCGGGAGGACAUCCAAUCAGAGAUGGAAGAAAGGCAAGCAGUGACACGUUGCAGGAUGGCAGGGGAGAGGCCCAGGGAGGAGUGAUAUAUUUGGGUGUCAUCACCGUACAGAUGGUAGUGGAAUCCAAAUGAGGUAAUAAGUUUGCCAAGAGAGGCAGUGUAAAGAG